UACAUAGGGCGCGAGCGUUGUCCGGAAUUAUUGGGCGUAAAGAGCUCGUAGGCGGCCUGUCGCGUCGGUUGUGAAAGCUCGGGGCUCAACCCCGGGUCUGCAGUCGAUACGGGCAGGCUAGAGUUCGGUAGGGGAGAUCGGAAUUCCUGGUGUAGCGGUGAAAUGCGCAGAUAUCAGGAGGAACACCGGUGGCGAAGGCGGAUCUCUGGGCCGAUACUGACGCUGAGGAGCGAAAGCGUGGGGAGCGAACAGG
rnacentral:rRNA from 1 species